rnacentral:rRNA from 1 species
GAUCCUGGCUCAGAAUCAACGCUGGCGGCGCGCUUAACACAUGCAAGUCGAACGAGAAAGUGGAGCAAUCCAUGAGUAAAGUGGCGUACGGGUGAGUAACACGUGGGUAAUCUACCUCUUAGUGAGGAAUAACCCUGGGAAACCGGGGCUAAUACCGCAUAAUCCUGAGAAGGGAAAGCAGCAAUGCGCUGGGAGAGGAGCCCGCGGCCGAUUAGCUAGUUGGUGAGGUAAGAGCCCACCAAGGCAGAGAUCGGUAGCCGGCCUGAGAGGGCACACGGCCACACUGGCACUGAAACACGGGCCAGACUCCUACGGGAGGCA